GUAUUUUGUGUAUUAAGUUCCAAGUACAGCCGUCGAGUUAGAUGCAGACCUCUGGCUGUUGUCCAGAGGACUUAGGAAGAUGGGAAGUAUGGAUAGUCCUGUCCUAUACCCAGUGCUGAGCCUUUCUCCAAGGGACCUGUUUCUUUUCCUGGCACAUACAAAGAAAGAAGAGCAAGGAUCGCUGUUCAGAAAUCCUGUGUGGCAAUCACUGUGUUUUCUUGGCCACAAAAAAGCACUGAAGCCCAGAGCGCAAACUAAGAGCUCAACAAUAACAAAGUAGGAGAGCAUGAAAUUCGGCUAAUUAGAAUGAGCUGCACAUUACUUCACAGAGACAUUGUCACGGUAGGGAAACAGAGCAGGGUGCUAUUUAUCUUGAGUGGAAUAAGUAAACUGUGGCUCAAAGGCAGCAUUAGGAGGAGACUCUUCCCUGUCUUAAUAAUGUAUAAUGUGAAUAGCAUGAGAAUGUUUAAUUUCUUUGCUAUGUCAAUGAGUAUUUGUUAAUUAUAGCACAAACUAAAAUUGUGGGGCUGUGCAAAAUGCAUCCAAUGCUGUGCAACUGCACAACACAGCAUCUGACAAGAAGACAGCAUCAGUCCUCUGUGAGUGGUCAGUUUCCUUUCACAUGGCAUAGAGCAGGAAAAGGGAAAGAACACCCAGCCUGGGGAGCAGGACCCCAAGGACCUCUUUAGGAAAGUGAGGAGAGGAAAGGAGCUACAUGUUUGAAGGAGAGCCUGUCUCUGCUUCCCCUCUGUAGGGAACAGGGAACUCUAAAGGGAAGGGUUUUGGAUGGUACCUGAGGCUGAAGCUGGCUCCCAGGUGUUCUCUCACAGCUCCUUGGGGCUGUUGUUAGUGUGGGUGCUGGAAAAGGCUGAAGUGAGUCCAGGGAUGCAUUUGGUUGGCUUUGUGAUGAUUGAAUGUGCGAGUCUUCCACUCACAGUGGUGGGAAGGAAGCUACAUGUGGUUGGCCUGGGUUAGUGCUAUGGUGGUAAUGGGUUGAUGAGUUGACUGGGUGAUCUUAGUGGUCUUUCCAACUGCAGUGAUUCUACGAUUCUUUGCCUUGCAUUGGGAACCAGACAGAGGCUGAGCACUCUGAGAGGACAUAUGUAAGCAUUCAUCAGUGACACAAGUAGUCCUUGGAUCCUACUGGCAGGGACUCAUCUUUGUCAACAACUUGAUACUGGAAAGGCUUGAGUCUUCCUGGGGUCCUGAAGCAACAGGUUCAGAGUACCUGCCGUAUCUAGCCUCACAGCCCUUGAAGGAUGGAAAGUAAAAGCAAUCUCAACCUCUUCUGGGCUAACUUCAUCAACUGACAAGUUUCAGCAUAUACCAGUCUUUGUUCUUCUGUAACUGCCAUGGUAUGAGUACAGCACCUGGGAAGAGAUAGGGCUGCUGGCACCUACCUCGCGUGACAUCAGGAGAUGAGACUUCACUGAAGAGGAUAUCUGCUGUCUGCGAUGUACUGGGCAUGUGGCUGCUGUUGCGCUUCAAACCUCCAAUUUUAAAUGUAUGCAUUGAUUUUUAUUUUUUUUUUCAGGGGGGAGGGAGGAGAGAGGAGAGGAGGAGGAGGAGGAAAGGCAUGGCUCUAGAAAGAAGGAGAUUGGCCCUGAUCUGUAAGAGAAAUUACCAGAGAGUCGAUCUGCAGUAUGUGAAGUAACAUGAAGUACCUGUCCUAUUCUGGGCAGGCGGAGGAUUUAGCUGUUAUUUCCGAGGAUACUUUAGAAUGAGAAGAAACACGAAGUCUCCAGUGUUCAAUUAAGCUAUUCAGAUACCAAUCAAGAAACAAUCCAAGAGCACUUAAAGAUCUCCAUGUAUAACACUGACUGCUUACUGGUGCUGAUAAUGCCAUGUGGAACCAGAGCUAUUUGGCAUGGCUGAAAAUCAAAUCCACAUUAUUGAUUACCCUCAGACUCUUUAGCAGACCUGCACCCUCAUGGCCUCUUCGCAUAAGUUUUUUUUUUUUUUUUGACAUUUAACAGGCACGAGAGUUGAAGAAAGACAGACAGGAAACAGCAAAAUAAAACUGUGAAAUGCAUCUAGUCUCACAUGUUAAAAAAUAAAUAUUUUGUAAUGAAAAGUUAUACCAUAUAUUUUCCCAGAUUCAAAGCAUUAUAUCAGAUCAAAAUGAGAGUGAAC
ensembl:lncRNA